CGUCUUCGGAGCUAGUGGCGGACGGGUGAGUAACACGUUGGUACCUACCCCGAAGUGGGGAAUAACUGCCCGAAAGGGUGGCUAAUACCGCAUAAUACCGCAAGGUUAAAGCGAGUAAUCGCGCUUCGGGAGGGGCCUGCGUCUGAUUAGCUAGUUGGUAGGGUAAUGGCCUACCAAGGCGACGAUCAGUAGCUGGAUCGAGAGGUUGACCAGCCACACUGGGACUGAGAUACGGCCCAG
rnacentral:rRNA from 1 species